AGCGAACGCUGGCGGCAGGCUUAACACAUGCAAGUCGAACGGGCGUAGCAAUACGUCAGUGGCAGACGGGUGAGUAACGCGUGGGAACGUACCUUUUGGUUCGGAACAACCCAGGGAAACUUGGGCUAAUACCGGAUAAGCCCUUACGGGGAAAGAUUUAUCGCCGAAAGAUCGGCCCGCGUCUGAUUAGCUAGUUGGUGAGGUAACGGCUCACCAAGGCGACGAUCAGUAGCUGGUCUGAGAGGAUGAUCAGCCACAUUGGGACUGAGACACGGCCCAAACUCCUACGGGAGGCAGCAGUGGGGAAUAUUGGACAAUGGGCGCAAGCCUGAUCCAGCCAUGCCGCGUGAGUGAUGAAGGCCCUAGGGUUGUAAAGCUCUUUUGUGCGGGAAGAUAAUGACGGUACCGCAAGAAUAAGCCCCGGCUAACUUCGUGCCAGCCGCCGCCGUAAC
rnacentral:rRNA from 1 species